UUUGGAUCCCGGCGGGUCCUGAUCCUGAUCCUGGUUCUGAUCCUAAUCCCGGUCCCAAUCCCGGUCCCCAGUCCGGGGCCCGGCCUGCCUGGCUGGCCGAGAGCUGCUCCGUCCAUGAGCUGGAGCCCACCCGCUGUCCUGGAUGCAGCAGAACAAAAGAAGAUUACCAUUACUUUGGACCCUGUCUAAGGACAUAAAAUGAACUUGAAAAGCAGUCACACAGCUCUGAUGGGGGCAAUUCCCAGAGAGAAGACACACUGGAAGCAAGAAGAAUUGAGGAAUUUCACCAGUUGCUGCAAAAUACCUUCCACAAAGCAUUGAAUGGUGCAAUAUUGUCUCAGCUACCAUGGAAUGCAACAAACAAGUGUCAUGACUGAGGGCAAUAUGACCUCCAGCUUAAUUCUGCCUCCACUCUUCUCCAUUCCAUAAGGAAUUUCAUGCUGGAAUU